rnacentral:rRNA from 1 species
GACGGAGGGUGCAAGCGUUGCUCGGAAUCACUGGGCGUAAAGGGUGCGUAGGCGGCCUGGUAAGUCUGGCGUGAAAGCCCAGGGCUCAGCCCUGGAAGUGCGCUAGAAACUGCGAGGCUCGAGUGCCGGAGGGGAGAGUGGAAUUCCUGGUGUAGCGGUGAAAUGCGCAGAUAUCAGGAGGAACACCUAUUGCGAAGGCAGCUCGCUGGGACGUUACUGACGCUGAGACGCGAAAGCGUGGGGAGCAAACAGG